rnacentral:rRNA from 1 species
GAUGAACGCUGGCUGCGUGCCUAACACACGCAAGUCGAGCGAUGAAAUUUCCUUCGGGAAAUGGAUUAGCGGCGGACGGGUGAGUAACACGUGGGUAACCUGCCUCAUAGUGGGGGAUAGCCUUCCGAAAGGGAGAUUAAUACCGCAUAACAUCAUUAGAUGGCAUCAUUUAGUGAUCAAAGGAUUUAUUCGCUAUGAGAUGGACCCGCGUCGCAUUAGCUAGUUGGUAGGGUAAUGGCUUACCAAGGCGACGAUGCGUAGCCGACCUGAGAGGGUGAUCGGCCACAUUGGGACUGAGACACGGCCCAGACUCCUACGGGAGGCAGCAGUGGGGAAUAUUGCACAAUGGGGGAAACCCUGAUGCAGCAACGCCGCGUGAGUGAUGACGGUCUUCGGAUUGUAAAGCUCUGUCUUUGGGGACGAUAAUGACGGUACCCAAGGAGGAAGCUACGGCUAACUAC